rnacentral:lncRNA from 1 species
CAGAUUCUUUGAAAAAAAUUGAUUGAAAGAUUUAAUCAUCAGAAGACUAGUUUUUUCCAAAUCCCGCUAAGAGUGGAUGGACAUUCUGUUGCAAGAUUUUAAAACCGUUAGUGAGUACAAUUUUGAACAAUUUAGAAUAUAUUCAAAAUUAACUUUGUAUGGAAAUAAAUCACAGAUGAAGAUAUGUUGACUAAUAUUUUUUCACUUUUUAUAUCUCGAAUGUACUCCUGCAGCAAUAUCAUGAGCGUGAUUUCAAAAAGUACUUAGAACUCAUAUUUUUCAUACUUCUUGUAGUUGAACAAUAUAAUGAACUAUAGAUGAAAAAUCAAAUGUUAAUCCAACCAUAUCUAUACUAUUACCUGAAGCAAAAGAUACUGCAUUGUCUGAAGUAAAUAUGAUAUAAGAACAAGGAUAUAGACAUGGACGUGAACAUGGAUAUAGAGAUGGACGUAAACGUAGAUUUGGACGUGGACGAGGACGUGAAUAUGUAUGUGGAAUAAACUACGGAUGAAACAAUCAACAAAACUAUCAUUAACAAGUAAAUAAUUUCAAAAGGCACAAAACAAUGAAAGUAACAUAUCCAAAAAAGAACACAAAUAAUGUUACUUUAAAUGUAGAAUGAAAGGGCAU